rnacentral:rRNA from 1 species
AUUGAACGCUGGCGGCAGGCCUAACACAUGCAAGUCGAGCGAGCGGCGGUCGGGUGAGUCAUGUAUGGGGAUCUGCCCGAUAGAGGGGGAUAACUACUGGACACGGUAGCUAACACCGCAUACCAUCAGAUGACCCCAUAUGGGUUUGGCUGGUAGGUAAGGUAAUGGCUCACCUAGGCGACGAUCCCUAGCUGGUCUGAGAGGAUGACCAGCCACACUGGAACUGAGACACGGUCCAGACUCCUACGGGAGGCAGCAGUGGGGAAUAUUGCACAAUGGGCGCAAGCCUGAUGCAGCCAUGCCGCGUGUGUGAAGAAGGCCUUCGGGUUGUAAAGCACUUUCAGCGAGGAGGCGUUACUCGCAGAAGAAGCACCGGCUAACGCCGUGCCAGCAGCCGCGGUAAUAC